rnacentral:rRNA from 1 species
GGGGAAUAUUGCGCAAUGGGCGAAAGCCUGACGCAGCGACGCCGCGUGAGGGAUGAGGGUUUUCGGAUCGUAAACCUCUGUCAGAAGGGAAGAAACUACGUUGUGCUAAUCAGCAGCGUACUGACGGUACCUUCAAAGGAAGCACCGGCUAACUCCGUGCCAGCAGCCGCGGUAAUACGGAGGGUGCAAGCGUUAAUCGGAAUUACUGGGCGUAAAGCGCACGUAGGCUGUAGUGUAAGUCAGGGGUGAAAUCCCACGGCUCAACCGUGGAACUGCCUUUGAUACUGCACAACUUGAAUCCGGGAGAGGGUGGCGGAAUUCCAGGUGUAGGAGUGAAAUCCGUAGAUAUCUGGAAGAACAUCAGUGGCGAAGGCGGCUUUCUGGACUGUAACUGACGCUGAGGCAUGAAAGCGUGGGGAGCAAAC